rnacentral:rRNA from 1 species
UUUCCCUCAGGAUAGCUGGCACUCGCUCGAGCGAGUCUCAUCUGGUAAAGCGAAUGAUUAGAGGCCUUGGGGCCGAAACGACCUCAACCUAUUCUCAAACUUUAAAUGGGUGAGAUCUCUGGCUUGCUUGAAAUAUGAAGCCACGAGAUUUAUUUUGAAUGGAUCAGAGUGCCAAGUGGGCCAAUUUUGGUAAGCAGAACUGGCGCUGUGGGA